rnacentral:tRNA from 1 species
GCCUGGGUGGCUCAGUGGUUUAAGCAUCUGACUUUGGCUCAGGUCAUGAUCUUGUGGUUCAAGCCCCAUGCCAGGCU